rnacentral:rRNA from 1 species
UGUAGAGUUUGAUCCUGGCUCAGAUUGAACGCUGGCGGCAUGCCUUACACAUGCAAGUCGAACGGUAACAGGUUAAGCUGACGAGUGGCGAACGGGUGAGUAAUGUAUCGGAACGUGCCCAGUCGUGGGGGAUAACUGCUCGAAAGAGCAGCUAAUACCGCAUACGACCUGAGGGUGAAAGCGGGGGAUCGCAAGACCUCGCGCGAUUGGAGCGGCCGAUAUCAGAUUAGGUAGUUGGUGAGGUAAAGGCUCACCAAGCCGACGAUCUGUAGCUGGUCUGAGAGGACGACCAGCCACACUGGGACUGAGACACGGACCAGACUCCUACGGGAGGCAGCAGUGGGGAAUUUUCCGCAAUGGGCGAAAGCCUGACGGAGCAACGCCGCGUGAGGGAUGAAGGCCUCUGGGCUGUAAACCUCUUUUAUCAAGGAAGAAGAUCUGACGGUACUUGAUGAAUAAGCCACGGCUAAUUCCGUGCCAGCAGCCGCGGUAAUACGGAGGGUGCAAGCGUUGUCCGGAAUCAUUGGGUGUAAAGGGUGCGUAGGCGGACUGCUAAGUCUGGGGUGAAAUCUUGCCGCUUAACGGUAAAAUGGCCUUGGAUACUGGCAGUCUUGAGUGUAGAAGAGGCAGGUGGAAUUCGUAGUGUAGCGGUGAAAUGCAUAGAUAUUACGAAGAACAUCAGUGGCGAAGGCGGCCUGCUGGUCUACAACUGACGCUGAGGCACGAAAGCGUGGGGAGCGAACAGGAUUAGAUACCCUGGUAGUCCACGCCGUAAAC